UUUAUAUGUUAUAUAUUGUUUUGAUUUUUGGAUUUUGAAAAAUUAAGUGUAUAUGAAUUUAAAUUAUUUUAAAUAUAAUUUAAACGGGUGAUAAUCUGAAUUAAGCUGCAAAAAUUCAAACCAAAUUCAAACUAAAAUUUAUAAAUACCCGAAUAGAGCUUAAAUAUUUAAUCUCAAAAACUCUAUAAUUGAAUAGACAUGUGAACCGAAUUUGAACGUCAACCCCUAAUUUUAACGAAAGGACUUAGAAUUAAAAAUUAUUUCACAAAUAAUAAUAAAUUGUAAAGAAUAUAAUUAUAUAUACAAAAUAAAAAUAAAUACAACAAUUUUUUUUUGAUAUAUUUUCAUAAAGAUAAUUGUUUUUGAAAAUCAAUUGUAUUUUGAUAUUUAAAAAAAAGAGUAAAGAUGUUACUAAUACAGACUUAUUACAAAGUUAAUAUCUUAACAAUUCCAGCUUAAACCGCGGAUUUUACCUAGUCUUCAUUAUCUUGUUAAUAAAAACACAGAUUGAAGUAAACCCCCUUUAAUUUACUUGGUUGGAUCAAAUAAACAUAAAACUUUAUAUAUCGUAUCAAGAUGCAAACGUUGUCUUGUUCAAGUAAGGUCGUUCAUUUCGAUUUCGCAUCUUUGAUCAGGCCUAUUUGUAGAUAAAAAAGAGAAGUUCGAACAAAGAAACCUCGGCUGAGGUGCCCACUAUCACGACUUCGAGCCCCGGCCACAGCGAAUUUAACAUCCCUUCCGUUGGGGCGCUGGACCCCCUACGGGGGAUAGUUGGGAAUGUGGCUGCCCAGAUACCAGAGUUACAAAAAAAAAAAAAAAAAAAGAUGCAAACGUUGUAUCUACAAAUAGGCCUGAUCAAAGAUGCGAAAUCGAAAUGAAGUUUGCUUCACAAAAACAAAACUCAAUAAAAACAUAGGAGUUGAGAGAAACAAAUGAAUUAUGUAUAUUGCUUCACAAAAAAGCUCAAUGAAACAAAUGAACAAAAAAAAAAACAUAAAGUCUUGCUGCUUGCCUUUGUUAAUCUUCAGGUAUCUUCAACCUGAGAAUGGAACGGAAAGCUUGGAAACGUAGUCGUGAUAUCCCUACAAAGCACACACAAAACAAGAUCAAGACCUUUAUCUAUUACAUAUCAUCAAAAGGAAACUAAAUAGGCAAUGAUGUUGCAUAGAUUCAAACCCGGUUACAUAAAUAGAAAAAUCACUUGAGAUACUGAAGAGUCAUGUUCUUGAGAAGGCUGGGAUGUCUAUAAACAAGGCUUCUCCAAUCUUCCUUAUCGAUCUUUCCAUCAUGUUUUGUGUCUGCUUCCUCAAAGGUCUGAACAAUCAAAACUCAAGACAUCACUUUCAACCAAAGACAUUGUGCGAAGAGAAAUAUGAAAAGUAAAAAACUUAACCUUGUCGAUUAUAUCCUCAAUGACAGUAUCCUUCAAGUUCAUUCCAAAUUCAGCAAGCGUAGCGACAACCAUCGGAAAAUAGAACUGUAUCAACACAGAGCAAGGCGCGGGUCAUCGCCUUGCUUCACCGAUUUACUCAUAUUCGCCGUGGUCAACCUCCGAAUUAGACGGCUAGGCGACCGCAUUUUCGAAAAGGUUUAUAAUAAUGAAGGCCCUAAUAACAAUGUGUCACACGUCCGGUUUGUAGAGCAUGUGUCAGUCAUGUGCUGUAUUAUACGCCACUGUUUUAAUCGUUAUUUUAUUUAACCGCUAAAGAAGCUUCGAUUAAACCGGGAACCACCAUUUUGUAAUAGGGUUUUUAACAUUAUAAGACACUUUUCAACAUUUUAUACACCUUAGAACACUUUGUGCUACUAAAGUACGUAGUUUAUGUUGUUAAAAAGACUAAAGUGUCCUCAACUUAAGUCUUCUCUUGUUGUUGCACGUGAAUCUGAAAAUAAAUUCAGUUUGUCAUUCUCUCUCACGUCCUAUCUCAUCUUCUCUCUAUUCUUCUGUUCUAAACAAACAAUAAAGCUUUCUUUUUUUUCCACGGGUCAAUCCUUCCUAACCGUGAAAAAACAUGAAUAUGACGACAAAGAAGAUGUUGGCUUCCGACGGCCGGGGUCGGAGUUUUUUCAAAAUCCCGUUCGAAGAUUUUUUUUCUGGUAGGUCGGUUCACAAUCAGCACCCAACACCUUCCCCUCCAAAUAUAAGUUGCAUAACUUCUACCUACAAAACACCGAUUAAAGUUUGAUACUUCAGAGAAACUCUUUUUCUUUUGUUACUACUUUUGUUUCAAGAGGAGCAUGGGAAGAAAGUGAAGAUAAGCAUGUGAAAGGUGAAUGGGUGGGCUACACACAGAGUUGCGACCAUUUACUUAUCGAAAGUAUACAUAUGUACACAUAUCAAUCGGUACACGUGUACAUUGUUGUAAUUUAAUGCACAUGUACGCCAUUAUUUACGCAGUCCACAAAAUU